GAUGAACGCUGGCGGCGUGCCUAAUACAUGCAAGUCGAGCGAACAGGCGAGGAGCUUGCUCCUCUGACGUUAGCGGCGGACGGGUGAGUAACACGUGGAUAACCUACCUAUAAGACUGGGAUAACUUCGGGAAACCGGAGCUAAUACCGGAUAAUAUAUUGAACCGCAUGGUUCAAUAGUGAAAGACGGCUUUGCUGUCACUUAUAGAUGGAUCCGCGCCGCAUUAGCUAGUUGGUAAGGUAACGGCUUACCAAGGCAACGAUGCGUAGCCGACCUGAGAGGGUGAUCGGCCACACUGGAACUGAGACACGGUCCAGACUCCUACGGGAGGCAGCAGUAGGGAAUCUUCCGCAAUGGGCGAAAGCCUGACGGAGCAACGCCGCGUGAGUGAUGAAGGUCUUCGGAUCGUAAAACUCUGUUAUUAGGGAAGAACAAAUGUGUAAGUAACUAUGCACGUCUUGACGGUACCUAAUCAGAAAGCCACGGCUAACUACGUG
rnacentral:rRNA from 1 species